UUAUGGCCAUAUCAGUUUCAAACACCAUUUCCUGUAUGAUCACCAAAGUUAAGCAAUGUCAAGCCUGGUCAGUACCUAGAUGGGUGGCCACUUGGGAAUACCAGCUUCUG